rnacentral:rRNA from 1 species
UCAAAGAUUAAGCCAUGCAUGUCUAAGUAUAAGCACUUUAUACUGUGAAACUGCGAAUGGCUCAUUAAAUCAGUUAUCGUUUAUUUGAUAGUACCUUACUACAUGGAUACCUGUGGUAAUUCUAGAGCUAAUACAUGCUGAAAACCUCGACUUCGGAAGGGGUGUAUUUAUUAGAUAAAAAACCAAUGCCCUUCGGGGCUCCUUGGUGAAUCAUAAUAACUUAACGAAUCGCAUGGCCUUGCGCCGGCGAUGGUUCAUUCAAAUUUCUGCCCUAUCAACUUUCGAUGGUAGGAUAGUGGCCUACCAUGGUGGCAACGGGUAACGGGGAAUUAGGGUUCGAUUCCGGAGAGGGAGCCUGAGAAACGGCUACCACAUCCAAGGAAGGCAGCAGGCGCGCAAAUUACCCAAUCCCGACACGGGGAGGUAGUGACAAUAAAUACUGAUACGGGGCUCUUUGGGUCUCGAAUGGAAGAGUACAUUCUAAAUCCCUUAACGAGGAACAAUUGGAGGGCAAGUCUGGUGCCAGCAGCCGCGGUAAUUCCAGCUCCAAUAGCGUAUAUUAAAGUUGUUGCAGUUAAAAAGCUCGUAGUUGAACCUUGGGUCUGGCUGGCCGGUCCGCCUCACCGCGAGUACUGGUCCGGCUGGACCUUUCCUUCUGGGGAAUCUCAUGGCCUUCACUGGCUGUGGGGGGAACCAGGACUUUUACUGUGAAAAAAUUAGAGUGUUCAAAGCAGGCCUUUGCUCGAAUACAUUAGCAUGGAAUAAUAGAAUAGGACGUGCGGUUCUAUUUUGUUGGUUUCUAGGACCGCCGUAAUGAUUAAUAGGGAUAGUCGGGGGCGUCAGUAUUCAGCUGUCAGAGGUGAAAUUCUUGGAUUUGCUGAAGACUAACUACUGCGAAAGCAUUCGCCAAGGAUGUUUUCAUUAAUCAGGGAACGAAAGUUAGGGGAUCGAAGACGAUCAGAUACCGUCGUAGUCUUAACCAUAAACUAUGCCGACUAGGGAUCGGACGGUGUUUCUAUUAUGACCCGUUCGGCGCCUUACGAGAAAUCAAAGU